rnacentral:lncRNA from 1 species
AUUUGAGAAAGAAAGCAGAAUGACAGAUACGUUUAAAAUUAACAGGAGAUCCCAUCGUGGCUCAGUGGUUAACGAAUCCAACCAUGAGGUUGCAGGUUCGAUCCCUGGUCUCGCUCAGUGGGUUAAGGAUCCAGCAUUGCCGUGAGCUGUGGUGUAGGUCGAAGACAUGGCUCGGAUCCCACGUUGCUGUGGCUAUGGUGUAGGCCGGCAGCUACAGCUCCGAUUAGAACCCUAGCCUGGGAAGCUCCAUAUGCCACUGGUAUGGCCCUGGAAAAUAUAAAUAAAUAAAUUAAUUUAAUUUAAUUAACAAUAUAGGAUCAUUGGGAAAAAUGUUUUCCAGAUCACAGGAGAUUGAUCCCUUUAUAUAGAUUCAGUUUGGGAUACUUCUUCAAGUCUAGGGGAACUAGGACAGCCAGCCAUUGGUGUCUUGCAUGGCACUGUUGGCAAGAUGGCAUUUAGUAGAAAGCAGGUUCACAAGACUGAGCUAGUCCCAGAGAGGAUGGUGGAGUCUCUCAGUUGAUUCCAGCAAUACCGUAUGUGAAGCACCUUAGCUAACAUCCAAUCACAAAAGCAAUCCCCUUGAGCAGAAAACACCUUUUUUGUGUGCAAAGUUGACUAGUGAUCCUCUGAACUCAUCUCAAGUUCCAUAUAAAAAUGUGCUCUGCUAGAGUAUUUUCCAUCAUGCUUUUGACCCAAGCUCUCAUUUCUGUGGGUUAUUGAGAGCUGAGUGAUUGUGGGCUUUCAAAUGUCUCUCUCCUUCAAGGAUAUUCACAGUAAAUCUUAUUGCUACUGGUAUAUACUCACUCAUGCCUUUUGCAAGCCAACUGUGGAUAAACUAGACUGUACCCAGACUAGGAAGGGAUGUGAAAUUGUUUUUAAAGAAAGACAAAUGGAAUAUCUAACUGGAAUUAGAGGAAAUUAGAAGAGGCAAAGCAGGAAGAUACAGGUCUAAAAAUGAAAGACCUGGUAUUUGGAAAGAACGGUUUAUUUUAAGGCACAACUGGGAACAAGAGGCAGAAAUGAAGAGAAGGCAGUGUUCUGUUUAAUGAAGGAGAAUUUUUCCGAUGUUAAAGUUGUUCAUUAAUUUAAUGAUCUGCUUUGGAAAGUGAAGAGUUCCUGAUGUGGAGUAUUCUCAAGCAUAGGCUAGAUGACAAUUUGGUAGAAAAUUUGGAAGAGACUCAUAGUAGACGGGAGUUUAAGCUAAUGGACUUUGAGUUCCCUAUCUAUUUAUUUUGAGUACUCAUAGUGGCUCAAAGAAGGCUAGCACAUUGCUAGAAAAUGGCCAUAGGGAACUAAUUAAUCUAAGCGUUUAUUGAAUACGAUGUUCUAAGAGAUACAGGGAGUGUAUAGUAGACUAUAAAGGAUUAUUUUCAUGCCCUUGAUUAGUAGGUUACAUAUAAAAAUGUCUGCAACUAAUUUGAAAUUUGAAAAUAGUGAUUAAUCUUUACAUAUUUUAAAAUUCAUACAUUUAAAUUAAUUUACAUGGGAUUUACAACUUUCCUAUAGAAAGCAAAGAAAAAAUCAUUUCAACCCUUCUCUGAAACUUCUCUGAAUAAUUAAGCAUUGCAUUAAUAUAUUUUAGUUAUCUUUUUGGCUGAGAAUCUUUACUUUUGUAUUUUUAGCUCUUAGUAAAAUACCUGGCUUUUUGUUGGUGUUUAAUAAAUGUCAUUUUACUUGAACCGAAUUGAUGCAUAAUCUGUAUUUUCUAUUUAACAGAUAUAAUUUCUUUGGUUAAUAUUAUUAACAAAAAUAGGAAAGUGGAUUUGGAGGCAAAGACACUGCACACUUGCAAAGCAAAAGUAUUUUGUGUCCUACAACGGGUAAAAUUUAGGCUGACCUAUGCCAACAUCUUUAUUAAUUCUUCAGGUACUGAAAAUAGCUGUAGGCUAUAGAAAAUAAUUUACUCUGAAAAACAGUGGGGGACAUUUUAAAAAGAUUACCAAGAAAAGGGUUAUUUUAACUGAAAAACAAUCAGAGUGGAUCUGAGGAAAUACAAAACAAAAAAUGUGAAAGCAGGAUAGUGCUGAUUACAUGUUCUUUGUUAAUUUAUAUUUGGCUGCAUUGUGCUCUUUACAAAGUGCUUGUAUGUGUGCUAAAAUCUGCUGAUUAUUAGUAGUAAAUUUUCUUUUCUUCUCUUAUAAAUUGUCAAAUUAUUUAUCUGUGCUCCUGGCAGAGCUAUUGUUGAAUGCAGGAAGCUUUCCAUAGUACUCAGUUACCAUCAGGACAGAAUUUUCUUCAGUCCUCGACACUUUCAGGACAACUUAUUUGUCUGGAACAUCAAGGGCCAUUUUUAGCCAAAGAAAAUAUCUCCGUGAUCAUGAAUUUGUUCCUUUUAUUCAUAGCUUCAUUUUUCAAGUUCAAAAUUAAAAACAAAGAUAGCUUACAUUAUGAUUGAAGCAAAAAGCUAUAUCAGGAAAAGAAAAUAAAUCAUGUGAAAUGUAGCUUAAAAUAAGUAUUUGAUCAUUAUGCAAUGUUCUCAAUGAACUGCUGAUGAGAUGUGGGACUUAGAGUCAUUACCAAAAUGCAAGUAAAACCUAUUCUAGAAACUAAGGUAAAGGUACAAUAAGUAACUAAGCCCAUUUUUGUUUUCCUAAAAAACACCUGUUUCUUACACAAAUGAGGAAGAUUGUUUUUGGCAUUCCUUCCUUUCCAGGUACCGUUUUAUUAUUCUAUGACUCUCUCUAGUAGCCAGAAAACUAUACGCUGCCCAGGUUGGCCUGUACAUAUUGAUGCAUGGGACUUUAAGUAAAUCAAAAUCAGUGAAUGUCUCAUUAGUGAGUAUAGUAGUUUUCUAGGGCUGUCAUAACUCAAUACCGUAGCCUGGGUGGCUUAAAUAACAGAAAUUCGUUUUCUCACCCUUCUGAAGACUAGAAGUCUGACUUCAGGUAUCAGCAAGUUUGGUUUCUCCUGAGGCCUCUUUUUUGGCUUGCAGAUGACCGCCUUCUCAGUGUGCCUUCACAUGGUCCUUUUUUCUGCACCAGUAUCCCUAGUGUCUCUAUCUAUGUUAAAAUUCUUCUCCUUUAGGAUGAACCCUAACCCAAGCUGAACACCUGUCAGUUGGGAUUAGGGUCCAUCCUAAAGUCCUGAUUUUAACUGAAUCACUUAUGUAAAGACUUGAUCUCCACCAUAGUCCUAUUCAGAAAUACCAGCAUUAGGGCUUCAUUAUAUGAAUUUUGGCAGGAAAUUAUUCAGCCUAAAAUUUCUGGGGGUGUUAACAGUGAGGUACAAUAUUUAUGCAGGAGAAAUCUGGUUGAUUAUCAUGUUCAAUACCUUUAUUUAAGCAUAAAGCUGUACACCUUUAUGUACAGUGAGAGAGAGAGAAUCUUCAGGAUUCUGAAGACCAAAUUAGGAAGGCUAGAGUAACAGUUUGGAAGGCACCUAGUAGUCAAACGAGAACUCAAGAAAUAGUACACUUAUCAUUUUGGAUGUCAUGAAAUAGGUGAAAUAUAUUAGAAAGAAUAGGAUUUCCGUGUCACAUGACAUUUCAAAAAUGUUUAUACCACUUCCUUGAAUUAAUUUCUUAUAUGGUAUUUUUAUUAUUAAAACUCAUUCCAAAUAAUGUUAAUUAGACAUCCAAUAAGCAACAAGGGCAUACAAUGCCUAUAAUUUCUAAUGCUCCCAGUUUUUGAAGAACUACUAAUAUAUAUAUAUAGAUCCAAAAAACAAAAAUCAAUUACUUGUGAGAGUAUAAGAAAUCUGUACUUAGAGGGUACUAUUAAAUCAAGCCCACUCUUACAUACAUACAUAUAUAUACAUGUUAUUCCAGUUGCAUAAGAAAGUCACAGGGGUAUGUUCCAAAAUGAUAAACCCUAAGAAAGUAAUUCAAAGGCUUUAGCUUUUAGAAUCUAAUAUACUUUACCCCAAUUGCUAGAUGCUGUAUUCUCCUCUGAAAACCAUAGGCAUCCACCAAAGUGGGGAACACAGCAGUCACCUCAUUUUUGUCUCACACUUGGAAUAGAUGAAAGGAAAGGAAAAUUAUAAAACACAUCCCUUAUGAACAUCU